UAGGGAAUCUUCGGCAAUGGACGAAAGUCUGACCGAGCAACGCCGCGUGAGUGAAGAAGGUUUUCGGAUCGUAAAACUCUGUUGGUAGAGAAGAACGUUGGUGAGAGUGGAAAGCUCAUCAAGUGACGGUAACUACCCAGAAAGGGACGGCUAACUACGUGCCAGCAGCCGCGGUAAUACGUAGGUCCCGAGCGUUGUCCGGAUUUAUUGGGCGUAAAGCGAGCGCAGGUGGUUUAUUAAGUCUGGUGUAAAAGGCAGUGGCUCAACCAUUGUAUGCAUUGGAAACUUGUAGACUUGAGGGCAGGAGAGGAGAGUGGAAUUCCAUGUGUAGCGGUGAAAUGCGUAGAUAUAUGGAGGAACACCGGUGGCGAAAGCGGCUCUCUGGCCUGUAACUGACACUGAGGCUCGAAAGCGUGGGGAGCAAACA
rnacentral:rRNA from 1 species